ACGCAGAAUGAGGAACUUCACCUUGAUAACAGCUUUACUUCUCUGCAGCCUCAGCUGGAUCUCUGUCUCAGCUUCUGAGUCUCACACUGUGGAGGUCCAGUCUGGUGGAGACGUCACUCUGAUGUGCUCCAACAUUUCCAGAGUUAUAACUACAACAGAAUGGUUCAGAGUGAUCAACAGAACCAAGCCCAGCUGUGUCUCCUCUAUGUACGGGUCUGAUGGCAAACCUUCGUUCUGUGAUGGAUUUCAAAAUGGAUUUGAGAUGAGCUCCAACAUCUCUACUGUCUUUCUUAAAAUCAAGAGAGUGGAUUUAUCUGACUCUGGACUGUAUUUCUGUGGAUUUUACAUAGAAGGACAUACAGUCAUCGCUGGUGCAACACAUUUAAAAGUUCAAGCAUAA